CCUGUUUUAAAAAAGUGCUAGUAAUUAUAGCGUGUUGUUAUAAAGUACUUAUGAAAAAAACAGAGAACAGAGAACAGAGAACAUAACAGAACAGAAUAGGUAAGCACACGAGAUGUUGAAAAAUAAUGUUUAUAUAAAAUUGACACAGCUCAAAAGAACCAUAUAGAAUAAUAGUUAUAUGCCUUGUUCAAAUAAUUUGAUAAAAUAUAAUACUUUGUAGUAAUUAGAGACAUAAAAUGUAUGCUAAUCAAAAUAUAAAAGAUUAUAAUUAUAAUAUUAACAAAACGGAGUUGAAGGAUGCUAUAAAAAAUAAAUAUUUAAAUUAUGAAAACCACAUGGAUGUUCAUAAAAAUGUGUCGAAUCAUUCACCUGACGAAUAUUAUAUAAUGUCAGGGGAAAAACAUGUGAAUGAUGUAUAUCUAAGUACUGCUAUGACAACUGCUAUGGCAACUAAUGCGACAACUGCUACGAUAACUGCUGCUACUCUUGGUACUACAAAUAAAUAUAACAAUAACCACAGCUGUGACCGUUUUAGCAAUAGUAAACACACUGACACUUGUAGUAACACAACUAUAAUAAAUAGUAUUAACAAUAAUGCAAGUGAAACUAGUAGUAAUCAUGACGAUAUAAACACCCAUGAGGUACAUAAUAACAAGCAUAAUAAUAUUUUCAGAAAUGUUGAAAAAGGAAUAAAAUAUACGAAUAUGGAUUGUACCACAUCACCCAAACAGUACAAACAUGAUACAGAAACGUGUGCUCACUCUGACUUCAUAAAAAUAAAUAGAAACGACAGUAUAGACAAUUACAAACACUAUUACCAUGAUUAUGAUAACUAUACUGAUACUAUGUAUAAAUAUAACAAUGUCAGAAACAGUUUUCAUAAAUACGAAAGCACUUCCAAUUGUAACAAUAACAAAAAAGAAUAUUUCCAAUGUAAAGAGACUAGCACAAUUGAUGAUCGUUUUUCUAAUUACAUGAUAAAAGAAGAAAAAAAUAAAAACUCAUUAAAAAAAAAUAAUAGUAACGCAUUGCCAUUACAUUAUUAUGAUAAAAUUUUAAAUGGUAGUUGUUCACCUAGUAACGACAAAAAAGAAAAAAACAUUUUUAGUAGUUUACAAAAUGGUGCACAUAACAGCACACAAAUCGAUACACAUAGUAAUAAUAACAAUAAUACUAACGGAAUCAAAAUAUAUCAAAUGUUUAGAAACUUAAAUAGGAACAAUAAUAACAACACAAAUUUGGGAAUUAUAAAUUUUUUAAAAAAUAAAAAAAAUAAGAAAUAUCUUUACGAUAACAAAGGUAUAAAAAAUGAUACUAACAGCAGUGAAAUAAUAAGCGCUGAACACAAACAAAAUCUUAACUCCAAUUUGAACAUAUCAAAAGUUUCAAAAUGUACCUUUUACAAUAGCUCACCAGCAUUAAAAGACUGUAGUAUAAUACAUGUUAAAGAAAAUAUAAAAAAUAAAAUGCCGUCAGCUUUUAAUUUAAGCGAACGAAAUUACAUAGAAGAAAAUAAAAUAAACAACUAUGAUAGACAAAUGUUGUUAAAUAUAUCAUCUAACAUAAAUUAUUUCGAAACAUCAAAAUCUGUACACAGCAUGAAUGAUACACAACAGGUGCAUAUUAUACAUGACUUACAAGAACAUAAAGAAAGGGAAAAGAAGAGUCAAAUGCAUAUCAGUAGUAUCAAUAAAAAAAAGCUGAGUGAUAAUUUAAAACAAGAUAAACAAAUACCAAAUACAUAUACUGAUAAAUAUCUAAGUAAUGUACCAGCACCACAAACAAAUCCAUUUAUUUCGCAUUACUGCGUAAAUGAAGAACAGGUUGAAAGUACAAGCAAUAAAAUAUCAAGUGAUUCUUUUAAACAUAUUGUUAAAAAAAAAAUAGUUAAUAACAAUAAAGAUAUUAAUAUCAAGCAUGAACAUGACACAAGGCA
ensembl:lncRNA